GUGGGAGAUUGAGCGAGUGAGAGGGACAAGAGGUUUUGUUUAUUUAUGCAAAAAUACACCCAGCCACAUUUUAUCAGGCUUCCGAACGUACUUAAGUCAAGUGUGAAGUUAGUCUAGGCCAGUUUUGUACGAGCAGCUAAAUUGAACUGUUCUUCCUCUGCCAUUGGACUUUGGUCUCCAACCGCACUUAAGUCGCUCUUCCAAAAAAAUACAAAAACACCUUAAUACUAAACAAUAUUACUUGAGCAACUGCUUUCAAAGAGGGGUGGAUACCAUAAUAUUUGAAUAUAGAGGGGAGCACUAGAUUCUCAUCUCUUCCAGUUCUUUCAAAAAAA